GACGAACGCUGGCGGCGUGCCUAAUACAUGCAAGUCGAACGAACGGAGGAAGAGCUUGCUCUUCCAAAGUUAGUGGCGGACGGGUGAGUAACACGUGGGCAACCUGCCUGUAAGUUGGGGAUAACUCCGGGAAACCGGGGCUAAUACCGAAUGAUAAAGUKUGGCGCAUGCCAYGCUUUUGAAAGAUGGUUUCGGCUAUCGCUUACAGAUGGGCCCGCGGUGCAUUAGCUAGUUGGUAGGGUAAUGGCCUACCAAGGCAACGAUGCAUAGCCGACCUGAGAGGGUGAUCGGCCACACUGGGACUGAGACACGGCCCAGACUCCUACGGGAGGCAGCAGUAGGGAAUCUUCCGCAAUGGACGAAAGUCUGACGGAGCAACGCCGCGUGUAUGAAGAAGGUUUUCGGAUCGUAAAGUACUGUUGUUAGAGAAGAACAAGGAUAAGAGUAACUGCUUGUCCCUUGACGGUAUCUAACCAGAAAGCCACGGCUAACUAC
rnacentral:rRNA from 1 species